rnacentral:lncRNA from 1 species
UAGGGUUUAGGGGUUAGGGUUCAGGGGUUAGGGUUUAGGGUUUAGGGUUUAGGGUUUAGAGCUUAGGUUUAGGGUUUAGUGUAUAUCAUUUGCUAAUAAUUAAAUAUAUCAUAAUUGUACCACUAAUUUAAACCACUAAUUGUACCACUAAUUAUAGCACUGAUAAUUGUACCACUAAUAGAUCCAUCUCGACAUACCUGUAGUUUGAAGGCGGUGAGACGGCGGAGAGACGGCGGUCGGUGCGUAGACUCGACGGGGACUUUAGUAACGACGGUAGAGAGACGUCGAUCUGGAAGAAGGAAGAAAUAAGAAACAAAUAUUAUAUCACAUUUACAUAUUGUGGCACAUGCAUGAAGCACUAAAUAAAAAAACAAAAACUAAUAACAUAGUUUGUCUGUAAUUUACAAGACAAAUCUUUUGAGCUUAGUUAGUUUAUAAUUGGACAAUAUUUGCUACAAAUAAACGAAAAUGCUACAAUACCAAAAUAGAAAAUCUUUUCGGAACUAAACAAGGCCUAAGAAAAAAUAUAUAAUGUAAUACAAAUAAUAAUUAGAGCAAAGCAUAAGAAAAAAAAUAAAUACAUGUAACAAAGAAAAAAUUUAAAGAACAUCGUAUAUAUAUUACGUGAACAGUGCAAUUAGUUUUUAUUUUCGUCUAUUUGCAAUUUAGGAAUAGUACUACUUUCGUUUGUAUUUGACAAAUAUUAUCCAAUCAUGUACUAAUUAGACUCAAAAGAUUCGUCUCGUCAAUUCCGACCAAAUUGUGCAAUUAGUUUUUAUUUUUGUCUAUAUUUAAUACUUCACGCAUGCGUC